AUGGGAUCACUUGUCCUCUCAAUAGUCAGCGCACAGUUCCCAAUAUUGAAGAGAAAUAAACAACAGCAAAAAUGCAGUAACCAGUGGUGUCUAAAUUUUCGAAAAGUAAAGGAAAUGGGCAAGAUCUGCAAAUCAGUUCAAAGAGUUCUUGAGUGCAAAGCAACAAAACAAUCACAUAAAUGUAAAGGAGAUAGCAGAGUCGGAUUCAGAGAAGGAUAA